rnacentral:rRNA from 1 species
GCUCAUUAAAUCAGUUAUCGUUUAUUUGAUAGUACCUUACUACUUGGAUAACCGUGGUAAUUCUAGAGCUAAUACAUGCUAAAAAUCCCGACUUCGGAAGGGAUGUAUUUAUUAGAUUAAAAACCAAUGCCCUUCGGGGCUCUCUGGUGAUUCAUGAUAACUUCUCGAAUCGCAUGGCCUUGCGCCGGCGAUGGUUCAUUCAAAUUUCUGCCCUAUCAACUUUCGACUGCUGGGUCUUGGCCAGCAAUGGUGACAACGGGUAACGGAGGGUUAGGGCUCGACCCCGGAGAAGGAGCCUGAGAGACGGCUACUACAUCCAAGGAAGGCAGCAGGCGCGCAAAUUACCCAAUCCCGACACGGGGAGGUAGUGACAAUAAAUACUGAUACAGGGCUCUUUUGGGUCUUGUAAUUGGAAUGAGUACAAUUUAAAUCCCUUAACGAGGAACAAUUGGAGGGCAAGUCUGGUGCCAGCAGCCGCGGUAAUUCCAGCUCCAAUAGCGUAUAUUAAAGUUGUUGCAGUUAAAAAGCUCGUAGUUGAACCUUGGGCCUGGCCGGCCGGUCCGCCUCACCGCGUGCACUGGUACGGUCGGGCCUUUCCCUCUGGGGAACCCCAUGCCCUUCACUGGGCGUGUGGGGAAACCAGGACUUUUACUUUGAAAAAAUUAGAGUGUUCAAAGCAGGCCUAUGCUCGAAUACAUUAGCAUGGAAUAAUAGAAUAGGACGUGCGGUUCUAUUUUGUUGGUUUCUAGGACCGCCGUAAUGAUUAAUAGGGACAGUCGGGGGCAUCAGUAUUCAAUUGUCAGAGGUGAAAUUCUUGGAUUUAUUGAAGACUAACUACUGCGAAAGCAUUUGCCAAGGAUGUUUUCAUUAAUCAGGAACGAAAGUUAGGGGAUCGAAGACGAUCAGAUACCGUCGUAGUCUUAACCAUAAACUAUGCCGACUAGGGAUCGGACGAUGUUACUUUUUGACUCGUUCGGCACCUUACACGAAAGUACAAGUUUCUGGGUUCU